CACGGAUGAUGUGUCCGAACCACCCAGAAUGUUUUUCCAGAGGAAAACGUUGCGAGCGCCACGGUAAUCUGUUGAUGAGCGGCUCUUUAGCCUCAGUGGGGAGGAGCGGCAGGCUGUGAAGGAUUCCUCCUCCACCGAGGAGGAAUCCUAGAAAAACAGGCAGAGGAAAGAGUGUCAAAUACAAAGUUAGGAUGAUCAGAGAAUCAACAAGUGCCGAGGUACAUUUCCAUAAAGAUCUGCAGCUCGUGAAGAGCUUUAGGCUGUAGGCCUGAAAGUGUCUGGUUGGCAAGGUAUUUACAAAGCACACACUGUCUGUAAUUCCAGAAUGUAUGUUCAAAACAAAAGCCCCGUUAAUGCUGUCUCUUCUGCAGACUAUUCAUGUUAAUGAGGAGGAGGACGUGAUGAGGAGGUGAUGAGGAGGAGGAGGUGAUGAAGAGGAAGAGGAGGAGGUGGUGAUGAGGGGAAGGUCAUGAGGAGGAGUUGAUGAUGAGGAGGAGGAGGAGGUGAUGAGGAGGAGGAUGUGAUGAGGAGGAGGAGGAGGAUGAGGAUGUGAUGAGGAGGUGACGCGGUUCAUCUUUUGUUUCAGACCACGGGACAAACAUGUUGAUCUAUUAUUCAUUUCAUGAUUGAGCUUCUGUAAUGGGUUUAAGUAGAAUCCAUCCUGCAGCAUUAAAAACACAUUUCAAGCACAUUAUCAAUAAUGCAUAACAUUUAAUAAUUAUUUAUUAGUUUUAUUAUUCCUCCUAUAUACCUAAUUAUUAAUUAUAGUUAUAAUU
ensembl:lncRNA